GCCGCAAUAGCUCAGCGGUACAGCCCCCGCUUCGCAUGCGGGGAUACCGGGUUCGAUUCUCGGUUGCUUCC
rnacentral:tRNA from 1 species